AUUGAACGCUGGCGGCAGGCCUAACACAUGCAAGUCGAGCGAGCGGCGGAAGGGUGAGUAAUGUAUGGGAAACUGCCUGAUGGAGGGGGAUAACUACUGGAAACGGUAGCUAAUACCGCAUACCAUCGGAUGUACCCAGAUGGGAUUAGCUAGUAGGUGAGGUAAUGGCUCACCUAGGCGACGAUCCCUAUCUGGUCUGAGAGGAUGACCAGCCACACUGGAACUGAGACACGGUCCAGACUCCUACGGGAGGCAGCAGUGGGGAAUAUUGCACAAUGGGCGCAAGCCUGAUGCAGCCAUGCCGCGUGUGUGAAGAAGGCCCUAGGGUUGUAAAGCACUUUCAGCGGGGAGGCGUUACCCGCAGAAGAAGCACCGGCUAACUCCGUGCCAGCAGCCGCGGUAAUAC
rnacentral:rRNA from 1 species